GACGAACGCUGGCGGCGUGCCUAAUACAUGCGAGUCGAGCGAAGUUUUUCUGGUGCUUGCCCUAGAAAAACUUAGCGGCGAACGGGUGAGUAACACGUAAAGAACCUGCCUCAUAGACUGGGACAACUAUUGGAAACGAUAGCUAAUACCGGAUAACAGUAUUUCUCGCAUGAGAGAUAUUUAAAAGUUGGUUAUGCUAACACUAUGAGAUGGCUUUGCGGUGCAUUAGCUAGUUGGCGGGGUAAAGGCCCACCAAGGCGACGAUGCAUAGCCGACCUGAGAGGGUGAUCGGCCACACUGGGACUGAGACACGGCCCAGACUCCUACGGGAGGCAGCAGUAGGGAAUCUUCCGCAAUGGGCGAAAGCCUGACGGAGCAACGCCGCGUGAGUGAAGAAGGAUUUCGGUUCGUAAAGCUCUGUUGUUAGGGAAGAAUGGAUAUGUAGUAACUAUACAUGUAAGAGACGGUACCUAACCAGAAAGCCACGGCUAACUACGUG
rnacentral:rRNA from 1 species